AGCUGCGGCCGCGUGGCUCCGCCCUGUCGGCGUCUGGAGCCAGGAGGGUGCGGCUUCCGCGCGGGCCGGGGCUUCCCGGGCCUCACGGGUCGUCUCCGGCGCCUCCGCCCCUGUACGAACGUAGGUGGUACGGUGGAGGCUUCCAGACCUUCGCCUCUAGCCGAAGGUUCGAGUCCAACGUGACGGGUUCACGCGGCCCCUCUAAGCUUGGAGCGCCGCCCUGACUCAGCCAGACCACGGGCUUAAUGUAUCCGGCUGUGUCUAGUGUCGGAAAACACUGUCCGGGAACUCGGUCUGGCCUAUUUUCUGUUGGUUCUGAAAAGCCACUGCGGUUCGUUUUUGUCCUGCAGCCGUUACAGUUCUGUUACUGCAGUCAUCCCAGGAUCUUUCCAGUCUGUUUUAGGUCAACAUUUUGGUGGCCCAUACAGGGACCAGAGAAGACCCUGGAAGACCCUGGAGCUGAUGAGCAAACAAGUGCAGAACCUACAAACGGAGCCCAUUGUCACUCACUACUUUUCUCACUGAUCCUGAAGUUUGGCAGUGCAUCUUUCUCCUGGAUCCAAUCUCACAUCCUGUUUACAUUCUGAAGAUCUUCAGGUUUCUAAGGUUUUUUUCUUCCAGGGAGGUCCUGGUAAGGAACAUGGAACUAAUAAGCUACGACCAAGGUCAAAAGGUGACACCAUGUGUCCAACCACCUCUCAGAAUCCUCGCUGGCAUCCAUCUUGGCUGAACAAUGCAUGCACCACCAGGAAGGACUCUGAGUCAGAAUGAUUCGCCAAAGACAACCCAGUGACUAAUCUCAUCACCAUAAAACCCAAGACUGUGAGCCAUGUGGCAGAGCAGUUCUCCUGGGUUCCCUUACUCUCCUGCUCUCUGCCCAGACACCCCUU